rnacentral:rRNA from 1 species
GAUGAACGCUGGCGGCGUGCCUAAUACAUGCAAGUCGAACGAAACUUCUUUAUCACCGAGUGCUUGCACUCACCGAUAAAGAGUUGAGUGGCGAACGGGUGAGUAACACGUGGGCAACCUGCCCAAAAGAGGGGGAUAACACUUGGAAACAGGUGCUAAUACCGCAUAACCAUAGUUACCGCAUGGUAACUAUGUAAAAGGUGGCUAUACUACCGCUUUUGGAUGGGCCCGCGGCGCAUUAGCUAGUUGGUAGGGUAAAGGCUUACCAAGGCAAUGAUGCGUAGCCGAAUUGAGAGGUUGAUCGGCCACAUUGGGACUGAGACACGGCCCAAACUCCUACGGGAGGCAGCUGUAGGGAAUCUUCCACAAUGGGCGAAAGCCUGAUGGAGCAACGCCGCGUGGGUGAAGAAGGUCUUCGGAUCGUAAAACCCUGUUGUUAGAGAAGAAAGUGCGUGAGAGUAACUGUUCACGUUUCGACGGUAUCUAACCAGAAAGCCACGGCUAACUACGUG